rnacentral:rRNA from 1 species
GACGAACGCUGGCGGCGUGCUUAACACAUGCAAGUCGAGCGGUAAGGCCCUUUCGGGGGUACACGAGCGGCGAACGGGUGAGUAACACGUGGGUGACCUGCCCUCAGCUCUGGGAUAAGCCCGGGAAACUGGGUCUAAUACCGGAUAUGACUCCAUGACGCAUGUUGUGGGGUGGAAAGCCUUGUGCGGCUGAGGAUGGG